UGGGGAAUAUUGCACAAUGGGCGCAAGCCUGAUGCAGCCAUGCCGCGUGUAUGAAGAAGGCCUUCGGGUUGUAAAGUACUUUCAGCGAGGAGGAAGGCGGUAAGGUUAAUAACCUUAUCGAUUGACGUUACUCGCAGAAGAAGCACCGGCUAACUCCGUGCCAGCAGCCGCGGUAAUACGGAGGGUGCAAGCGUUAAUCGGAAUUACUGGGCGUAAAGCGCACGCAGGCGGUCUGUCAAGUCGGAUGUGAAAUCCCCGGGCUCAACCUGGGAACUGCAUUCGAAACUGGCAGGCUAGAGUCUUGUAGAGGGGGGUAGAAUUCCAGGUGUAGCGGUGAAAUGCGUAGAGAUCUGGAGGAAUACCGGUGGCGAAGGCGGCCCCCUGGACAAAGACUGACGCUCAGGUGCGAAAGCGUGUGGAUCAAACA
rnacentral:rRNA from 1 species